rnacentral:rRNA from 1 species
GCUUUGGUGCCUUCGGGAACUCUGAGACAGGUGCUGCAUGGCUGUCGUCAGCUCGUGUUGUGAAAUGUUGGGUUAAGUCCCGCAACGAGCGCAACCCUUAUCCUUUGUUGCCAGCGAUUAGGUCGGGAACUCAAAGGAGACUGCCAGUGAUAAACUGGAGGAAGGUGGGGAUGACGUCAAGUCAUCAUGGCCCUUACGAGUAGGGCUACACACGUGCUACAAUGGCGCAUACAAAGAGAAGCGACCUCGCGAGAGCAAGCGGACCUCAUAAAGUGCGUCGUAGUCCGGAUUGGAGUCUGCAACUCGACUCCAUGAAGUCGGAAUCGCUAGUAAUCGUAGAUCAGAAUGCUACGGUGAAUACGUUCC